rnacentral:lncRNA from 1 species
UGAGGAAGGUGCCUGCUUUCCCUUCACCUUCUGCCAUGAUUGCAAGUGUCCUGUAUCCUCCUGGCCAUGUGGAACUGUGAGUCAAUUAAAUCUUUUUUCUUUAUAAAUCACCCAGUCUCAGGUAUUCUUUAGAACAGUGUGACAUCGGACUAAAACACUAUUUCUCCCAGCCCGAAUGCUGGAGUGAGUGUAUAUGCAACUGAUAUCCCCAGUAACUGGGGGCUCCCUUUGGCUGCUAAGUGAAUGGCAGGGAGGCUUGAGGCUGCGCUGUUCACUUUAGGAAACAGCGAGGUGUCUGAGCUAGGGAAUCCUAAAAAGGAUUACUGUCACAAAUUGAACUGAAAUUUAAGAAACACACAAACUGAAACAAGACCUUUUAAUUUGUAGCCCCAAACAGGCAAACUGCUCUGUUGAAACAAUUAAGCAGCUGUGAUGAGGAGGGGCAGCAAUACACAGCAGCUGCCCGGAUUUCCAAGGAGGUUACAGAGAGUUCACGGACUUAGAACCACUCUAGCUCACCUGGCUCCACGUGGCGACUCCAGGCUCUGCACCCUUCCGGCCGCUAAGACAAGGCCUCAGACACGGGGUUCUGCCCUGUUUACUGUCAGCAGAGCCAAGCUGAGAAGGAUGGGCACGAGAAAAGGAGAAGUCCUGGUACAUCUGGAAAUGUAA